GUGAGAACGUAGCGAAAUGCGAUACGUAAUGUGAAUUGCAGAAUUCAGUGAAUCAUCGAGUCUUUGAACGCACAUUGCGCCCCCUGGUAUUCCGGGGGGCAUGCCUGUCCGAGCGUCAUUGCUGCCCUCAAGCACGGCUUGUGUGUUGGGCCUCCGUCCUCCUCCCGGGGGACGGGCCCGAAAGGCAGCGGCGGCACCGCGUCCGGUCCUCGAGCGUAUGGGGCUUCGUCACCCGCUCUUGUAGGCCCGGCCGGCGCUUGCCGACACAUCAAUCUUUUUUCCAGGUUGACCUCGGAUCAGGUAGGGAUACCCGCUGAACUUAAGCAUAUCAAUAAGCGGAGGA
rnacentral:misc_RNA from 1 species